rnacentral:rRNA from 1 species
UACGAAGGGGCUAGCGUUGCUCGGAAUCACUGGGCGUAAAGCGCACGUAGGCGGAUUGUUAAGUCAGGGUGAAGUCCUGGAGCUCAACUCCAGAACUGCCUUGAUACUGGCGAUCUUGAGUCCGGGAGAGGUGAGUGGAACUGCGAGUGUAGAGGUGAAAUUCGUAGAUAUUCGCAAGAACACCAGUGGCGAAGGCGGCUCACUGGCCCGGUACUGACGCUGAGGCACGAAAGCGUGGGGAGCAAACAGG